GCCACCGUGAUGGGAGAACCGGCCUUGCCGGUGCCGAAGGAGCAACCGCCCCCGGAAACUCUCAGGCCAAAGGACCUUCACGGCAGA
rnacentral:ncRNA from 2 species